rnacentral:rRNA from 1 species
CCUACGUGAGGCAGCAGUGAGGAAUAUUGGUCACUGGGCGGGAGCCUGAACCAGCCAAGUCGCGUGAAGGAAGAAGGUACUUAGUAUUGUAAACUUCUUUUGUCGGGGAACAAAGGCGGAGACGCGUCUCCGGAUGAGUGUACCCGAAGAAAAAGCAUCGGCUAACUCCGUGCCAGCAGCCGCGGUAAUACGGAGGAUGCGAGCGUUAUCCGGAUUUAUUGGGUUUAAAGGGUGCGCAGGCGGGCGAUCAAGUCAGCGGUAAAAUGUCGGGGCUCAACCCCGGCCGGCCGUUGAAACUGGUUUUCUAGAGUUGGAGAGAAGGAUGCGGAAUUCCUAGUGUAGCGGUGAAAUGCGUAGAUAUUAGGAGGAACACCAGUUGCGAAGGCGGCUCUCUGGACUGUAACUGACACUGAGGCACGAAAGCGUGGGGAGCAAACAGGAUUAGAGACCCCAGUAGUC